rnacentral:rRNA from 1 species
UGCCAGCCGCCGCGGUAAUACGGAGGGUGCGAGCGUUAAUCGGAAUUACUGGGCGUAAAGCGCACGUAGGCGGACUAUUAAGUCAGGGGUGAAAUCCCGGGGCUCAACCUGGGAUGGUCAUUUAGAACUGGCAGACUAGAGUCUUGGAGAGGGGAGUGGAAUUCCAGGUGUAGCGGUGAAAUGCGUAGAUAUCUGGAGGAACAUCAGUGGCGAAGGCGGCUCCCUGGCCAAAGACUGACGCUCAUGUGCGAAAGUGUGGGUAGCGAACAGGAUUAGAUA